GCAGAUGUGGUGUAAGCGGUCAACAUCGGGAUUUGGUAUGUCCUGGCUGUGGGUUCAAUUUCCGCCGUCUGCU
rnacentral:tRNA from 1 species